rnacentral:rRNA from 1 species
GACGAACGCUGGCGGCGUGCUUAACACAUGCAAGUCGAACGGAAAGGCCCUGCUUUUGUGCGGUGCUCGAGUGGCGAACGGGUGAGUAACACGUGAGUAACCUGCCCUUGACUUUGGGAUAACUUCAGGAAACUGGGGCUACUACCGGAUAGGAGCUCCUGCUGCAUGGUGGGGGUUGGAAAGUUUCGGCGGUUGGGGAUGGACUCGCGGCUUAUCAGCUUGUUGGUGGGGUAGUGGCUUACCAAGGCUUUGACGGGUAGCCGGCCUGAGAGGGUGACCGGCGACAUUGGGACUGAGGUACGGACCAGACUGCUACGGGAGGCAGCAGUGGGGAGUAUUGUACAAUGGGCGGAAGCCUGAUGCAGCAGCGCCGCGUGCGGGAUGACGGCCUUCGGGUUGUAAACCGCUUUCGCCUGUGACGAAGCGUGAGUGACGGUAAUGGGUAAAGAAGCACCGGCUAACUACGUG